rnacentral:rRNA from 1 species
UACGUAGGCAGCGAGCGUUGUUCGGAGUUACUGGGCGUAAAGGGUGUGUAGGCGGUCCUCCAAGUUUGGUGUGAAAUCGCCCGGCUCAACUGGGCGGGGUCAGCGGAUACGGCGCGGCUGGAGCAAGCUAGGGGGCAAUGGAAUUCCCGGUGUAGUGGUGGAAUGCGUAGAUAUCGGGAGGAACACCAGUGGCGAAGGCGGUUGCCUGGAGCUUUGCUGACGCUGAGGCGCGAAAGCGUGGGGAGCGAUCCGG